rnacentral:lncRNA from 1 species
AGGUCAACCAAUCGGCGCGGUACGAUGUCUACCUGAUGUGGGAGACGGAAAGGCAGCGUUGGCGGACGUAGGAGGCUAGAGUGAUCAUUGGUCAUCCCGAGCGCUGGCGAAAGAGUAAGAGAGAGAAAGAGAGAGAGAGAGAGAGAAAGAGAGAGAGAGAAAAAAAAAAAGUGCGUUCUUCGUGGGCGUACAGCCGUCGAGGGCGAGAUCGUUCCGAGGGCGUGACGGUGCUGAGUGGACGCCCGUGGAUGGAAGUGUGACGUGUGUGACCUCAUCUUAUCGUCACGGCUGCAAGAUCAAGGCAUGAUGAAGGCCAGGCAUUUCGCUCGUCGGUUCUCCCUCCAGCCGGCAUUAUACGAGGAAGAUCGGGUGAGAUUUUUUAAUCAUCAUUAUAUUUUUUUCCAAAAUUAAGAAGAAAAAAAAGAGAAGAAAAAAUUUCGAUGUCUUAAUUGUACUGAAUCGCCGCCCGUUUUCUUUGCAAGUUUUGCAAGUGACUGUUGUUGCAGACUCUUGCAUUCUUUUGUUGGUUUUGUUCUUGUUUUGAUCUUGGCUGCGUGUUU